rnacentral:rRNA from 1 species
UACAGAGGGUGCAAGCGUUGUUCGGAAUUACUGGGCGUAAAGGGCGCGUAGGCGGCUUGGAAAGUCAGAUGUGAAAGCCCGGAGCCUAACUCCGGAUGUGCAUUUGAAACUCCCAAGCUUGAGUACAGUAGGGAUUGGCGGAAUACCCAGUGUAGAGGUGAAAUUCGUAGAUAUUGGGUAGAACACCGGUGGCGAAGGCGGCCAAUUGGGCUGUAACUGACGCUGAGGCGCGAAGGCGUGGGUAGCAAAC